AACGGGGAGACAAUUGUGAGGCAGGCAAAGGAGGAGGCUGUGGAGAAGGAGGGAAGCGGGGUCUCGCGGGGAGAGAAAGGAUGGGGGUGGGCAACGUAGCCCACUGACCACAGGCUUGGUGGCAGAGGCUUACUGAGCGAGGAGGAGGCUGAAAGAGAGGACUGCAGCAGCCUUUGGCUCCUCCUCUUGGGACAGGGUGUCAGAUGAGGAUCCAUGCUGCACAGAUGCUGCUAGCACCCCAGGAAUCCACCCAGCAGAAACAAUCUGAUAAAAUGAAACUUCCACUGAAGACCAAAGCCUUACAAGAGGAGGACGGCCACAUGCUGUGUGGUACAGAGUAGGGUAUGGAUCUGCUCCCACCACAAGCCUGUGAGAACAGAGGCACCAACCCAGCAGGAAGGACCAGGAAAAGGAGAAGAUGGGGAAUCAGGCAAGUGGGAACUCACAGAUACCCAGGACAGCCUGCAGUACCAGCACAGGAAUCCCAGGUUUCUACAUUUGAGAGAAUCUACAGAAAGCAAUGAAGAGGGGCAAAUGUCAGGAAAACCAUUCCCAAUGUCAUUCAAAUAUAAAGCAUAGCGUUAAUACAACAAUUAACUGAGCAUCUGUGGGAAAUACCAGUGAACCACCAAGCAGCAAAAACAGCUGGACGUACGGAGAGAGAUGAUGCUGUGACCAGACUUGACUGUAGGUGGAAAUAAUAUCAAGCACCCAAUGGGUGAAGAUGCAAUUGGGGAAGGGGGAGAAAAAUAGAGAUAUAGAGACAGAUACUUUUUAAAAAAAUAUCUUCAAAUAAUUAUACUGUGGAGAGUGGCUGGGCAUCCUGGAGGACCAGAUGGACACCCACACUAGUAGGUGAGCCAGAGAUGCUCUGAAGCCAUAGUAAUUGAGAACGUAAGGUUCCCUCAGGGUGGAUGAGGCAGGCAGAGAGUGGAACAGGGCAUUCGGGUAGCCAGGCAUGUGCCCAAAAACACUGAGGAGGACCCAAAGUGCUGGUGCCACAGUUUCAUAGGAAAGGGUGGACUCCAUUGGAUGGGUGCCAGGAAAACUGGGUCCCCACAUGGGAAACAAGUUAAACUGAUGCCUGCUCCACUCCUCCAAUACUCAGAUGACUCAGCCAAAUAUGAACUUGAAUCCAAAGCAUCUAGAGAUGAUGUAGAAGGUCUUCUCAUGUUGAGAAAGAAGAACAGAAGCUAGAGGGGCAGCCAUCAUGAAGAGACUGGCAGAGUCACCCGCACUGCCAACGAUGCCAUGGGAAGCAAAAACUGGAACACAGAAAACACGGCAAAGAGUGGGCAUGGUGGUACAUACCAGUGGUUCCAGCUACUCUGGAAGCUGAGGCACAAGGGUUAUUUGAGUUCAGGAGUUUAAGGCUAGCCUGGACAAUAGAACAAGACAUUGCUUGGAAGGAGGAAGAUGAAGAAAAUCAAAAGGAAGAAGAAGGAAAGCUCACAGAGUCGGCAUCCAGAACAGGAAGUCUGGAAGUCAGGAAAAGAUGAUGCCGUAGGAAACUGAGCAAAGCCUUGAACGCAUCAGGAGGAAACUGGGCAUGAUGCUCCCUCUGUUCUCUGAGCCUGACAUGGCCAUGGCUGUUUUGAAAUCUGGGCAUCUGUGAUUCUCUUGGAUGCAGGAGAGAGCUCACAGGGCUAGUGAAGUGUCUCAUAAGGCCCCCUCUCUUGUCCGUAAGCAGCCCAUGCACUCAUUCACUAAACUGGAUGAAACUGA